rnacentral:rRNA from 1 species
GCCCGGUAGCUAAAUGCGGAAGAGAUAAGUGCUGAAAGCAUCUAAGCACGAAACUUGCCCCGAGAUGAGUUCUCCCUGACUCCUUGAGAGUCCUGAAGGAACGUUGAAGACGACGACGUUGAUAGGCAGGGUGUGUAAGCGCAGCGAUGCGUUGAGCUAACCGGUACUAAUGAACCGUGAGGCUUAACCUUACAACGCCGAAG